GACGAACGCUGGCGGCGUGCUUAACACAUGCAAGUCGAACGGAAAGGCCCUGCUUUUGUGGGGUGCUCGAUUGGCGAACGGGUGAGUAACACGUGUGUAACCUGCCCUUGACUUUGGGAUAACUUCAGGAAACUGGGGCUAAUAUCGUAUAGGAUCUCCUGCUGCAUGGUGGGGGUUGGAAAGUUUCGGCGGUUGGGGAUGGAUUGGCGGCUUAUCAGCUUGUUGGUGGGGUAGUGGUUUACCAAGGCAUUGACGGAUAGCCGGCAGGGGAGGGGGGCCGGCCACAUUACGACUGAGAGAGGGAGCAGACUCCAACAGGAGGCAACAGUCGGGAGUAUUGCACAGUCGGAGCAAGCCUGAUACAACAACGCCGCGUGCGGGAUGACGUCCUUCGGGUUAUAAACCGCUUUCGCUUAAGACGAAGCGUUAGUGACGGUAAUGGGUAAAGAAGCACCGGCUAACUACGUG
rnacentral:rRNA from 1 species